GCCGCUGUGGCGGAACUGGCAGACGCGUACCGUUCAGGUCGGUAUGGAGAUUUCUCCGUGCAGGUUCGAUUCCUGUCAGCGGCAUCA
rnacentral:tRNA from 1 species